rnacentral:rRNA from 1 species
GCCAGACUCCUACGGGAGGCAGCAGUGGGGAAUAUUGCACAAUGGGGGAAACCCUGAUGCAGCGACGCCGCGUGAGUGAAGAAGUAUUUCGGUAUGUAAAGCUCUAUCAGCAGGGAAGAAAAUGACGGUACCUGAUUAAGAAGCCCCGGCUAACUACGUGCCAGCAGCCGCGGUAAUACGUAGGGGGCAAGCGUUAUCCGGAUUUACUGGGUGUAAAGGGAGCGUAGACGGUGAUGCAAGUCAGAAGUGAAAGCCCGGGGCUCAACUCCGGGACUGCUUUUGAAACUGUGUGACUGGAGUGCAGGAGAGGUAAGCGGAAUUCCUGGUGUAGCGGUGAAAUGCGUAGAUAUCAGGAGGAACACCAGUGGCGAAGGCGGCUUACUGGACUGUAACUGACGUUGAGGCUCGAAAGCGUGGGGAGCAAACAGGAUUAGAUACCCGGGUAU